rnacentral:rRNA from 1 species
AACGAACGCUGGCGGCAUGCCUAACACAUGCAAGUCGAACGAGACCUUCGGGUCUAGUGGCGCACGGGUGCGUAACGCGUGGGAACCUGCCCUUAGGUUCGGAAUAACUCCCCGAAAGGGGUGCUAAUACCGGAUAAUGUCUUCGGACCAAAGAUUUAUCGCCUUUGGAUGGGCCCGCGUUGGAUUAGCUAGUUGGUAGGGUAAAAGCCUACCAAGGCGACGAUCCAUAGCUGGUCUGAGAGGAUGAUCAGCCACACUGGGACUGAGACACGGCCCAGACUCCUACGGGAGGCUGCAGUGGGGAAUAUUGGACAAUGGGCGAAAGCCUGAUCCAGCAAUGCCGCGUGAGUGAUGAAGGCCUUAGGGUUGUAAAGCUCUUUUACCCGGGAUGAUAAUGACAGUACCGGGAGAAUAAGCUCCGGCUAAUUCCGUG